rnacentral:rRNA from 1 species
AUUGAACGCUGGCGGCAGGCCUAACACAUGCAAGUCGAGCGGAUGAAGGGAGCUUGCUCCUGGAUUCAGCGGCGGACGGGUGAGUAAUGCCUAGGAAUCUGCCUGGUAGUGGGGGGUAACGUCCGGAAACGGGCGCUAAUACCGCAUACGUCCUGAGGGAGAAAGUGGGGGAUCUUCGGACCUCACGCUAUCAGAUGAGCCUAGGUCGGAUUAGCUAGUUGGUGGGGUAAAGGCCUACCAAGGCGACGAUCCGUAACUGGUCUGAGAGGAUGAUCAGUCACACUGGAACUGAGACACGGUCCAGACUCCUACGGGAGGCAGCAGUGGGGAAUAUUGGACAAAGGGCGAAAGCCUGAUCCAGCCAUGCCGCGUGUGUGAAGAAGGUCUUCGGAUUGUAAAGCACUUUAAGUUGGGAGGAAGGGCAGUAAGUUAAUACCUUGCUGUUUUGACGUUACCAACAGAAUAAGCACCGGCUAACUUCGUG